CUCAACGAUAUCGACCUCUUUCCCCUUCGCUUUCCCAGAUUAUUCUCUGUCUGCAUGUAGAGAGACGAAUGGAGCAAGAAGUAGACGAAGGAAGAGAGGCAUCCGUCGUUACGGACGGGGUGCUCUACGAGAUCCGCCGCCACGCGACGGGGGAUUUCCCGUCGGAUUCAUCUCUCCCACCGGUCGGUGACAGUUCCAGCGGCGGAUUGCUGUCGUAUCUCUCUCUUCGAGGUGUGAACCAACUUAAGGAGAGGUGGUACGGGUACAGCAGACCAAGGGCAAAUAAGAAGAGGGUAUCGCUUUUUGUCUCCCCCGGUGGCGAGCAUGUGGCUGUUGCUGCUGAAAAUCGAAUUACCAUUUUGCACAAGGAUGAUGACUAUAUGGAGCCUUGUGGUGUAUUUACAUGCAAUGAUAUGCAAGCAGUCUUCAACAGUGGAGCUUGGGUAGAGCCUUUGGGAGUUCUUGUCAUAAUCGAUGACAUGAGUACACUCUAUUUCAUCAGAGCAAAUGGGAUGGAAAUAACAAGGAGAACGAGGGUUCAGCUGAAGUUAUCUUCUCCUAUCAUUGACCUUUUUGUACAGGAAGACCUAAACUCAAAGAACACUUCCUUGUGUGGCAUCUCCAUUAUUACAGCGGAUGGUUUGAUGCAUUACAUUCAGAUAACGGAAGAGCCCAAUAUAUGUGUACAUCAGUUACCUACUUUGAGGGGUCGCUUACAUUGUGGACAGUUGCCACAUAUUACGUGCAUGGAUUUUCAUCCUGAUCUUUCUUUGGCAGCUGUAGUCUGUGACUCCUGUGUCUCAGUGGACUCUAAGGACCGUUCUGGAGAAUAUUCCCUGUUUGUGUCUCGAGUUAAAGCAAAUUCAGAAAUAGAGCUACUUGUUUCUGGUGAUAAACUGGAGGGAUCAUUUGCUUCUCCCAAAGGAUGUUUAAAUCACUGCAGUCAUCCAAAAGUGGCAAUAUCACCCCAGGGAAAAUAUGCGGCUACUCUGGAUUUUAUGGGUUGUGUAGAUGUUUUCAAACUUGAUCUUGAACUACAUUCUCUUUCUCUUCUUUCUUUUCCUGCAAAGCAAAAAUCAGAGAAAGCAGAUAGUUUAGCAUUUGAAAAGAAGAAAUGCUUCUUUGAUGUUGUUGAUGUCAGUUGGUGGGCUGAUAAUAUUCUCAUUCUUUCCAAUAUGAAUGCCUCUAUCACCAUGUAUGAUACCCUUAAUUGUGUAAAAGUUUCAGAAAAUGAUCCCAUAUUUUGCAUGCCACUCAUCGAAAGAGUCAAGCAUCAUCAAGGAUUUGUUUUCAUCUUGGAGAAUGCAUCAUCUGGUAGUAUGUCAGUAAAUUCCCAGCAGAUUGAGGAUGUCACUAGUGGAAAUUACAUUGAACGAGAUGCUGCCAGAUCAAGCUGGACUCUGAUGUCAUUUUCUGAGAGAUCUGUUUCAGAAAUGUAUACUAUUUUGUUAAAAAGUCAAAAAUACCAGGAUGCAUUGGAGUUUGCUUCUCAUCACAGAUUGGAUACUGAUGAAGUUUUCAAAGUACAGUGGUUGGAUUCUUUCCAAGGCAUCCCUGAAAUUAAUCUAUACCUGUCAAAAAUUAAGGAUAUGGUGUUUGUACUGUCAGAAUGUGUAAAUAGAGUUGGAACGACUGAGGAUGGUGUGCAGGCUUUACUUUCUCAUGGGCUUCGUAUCAGUGACCGGUAUGAAUUUUCAGAUUCUGAUGUCAGCGACUGCAGCUCAUUCUGGAACAUCCGGAUGUUUAGACUUCAACUGUUGCAGUUCAGGGACAGAUUAGAGACAUUUAUGGGGAUAAAUAUGGGAAGGUUUUUGGCACAGGAAUAUUUCAAGUUUCGAUCUAUGCCUCUCACUGAAGCUGCUGUAGCUCUUGCUGAAAGAAGCAAAAUUGGGGCCCUUAAUUUGCUCUUUAAGCGCCAUCCAUAUUCAGUUUCUCCAAGGAUUUUGGACAUCUUGUCUUCUAUUCCUGAAACAGUUCCUGUUGAAUCAUAUUGUCAGCUCCUACCAGGGAUGUCUCCUCCUAGAACAAUUGCUUUAAGAGAUGCAGACUGGGUAGAGUGUGAAAAGAUGCUGUCCUUUUUGGACACAUUGCCAAGUAAAUCAGAAAAGAGCAACCAAAUUUUUACAGAAAAUUUACUGAAAAUUUGUACAGGCUAUGUUUGGCCAUCAGCUUCUGAACUUUCUUCUUGGUACAAGAACAGAGCUAAAGAUAUUGAUAAUUUGAGUGGACAGUUGGAUAAUUGCUUUUCUUUGGUUGAAAUUGGAUGUCGCAAUGGUAUUUUGGAGUUGCAACAAUUUCUGGAAGAUAUCUCAUACUUACGUCAAAUAAUUUAUUCUGACGGUUUUGAUGAAGUAUUUACUAUGAGUCUUGUCACUUGGGCGCAACUAUCAGACUACGAUAAGUUUAAAAUGAUGCUCAAGGGAGUCAAAGAAGACAUAAUAGUUAAAAAGCUGCGGGAAAAAGCCAUUCCCUUUAUGCGGAACCGAUGUAAGUUGGAGGCUUUUGAUUUUGCUGAUGAGACAAAGGCUGGUGAUAAAGAGUCAUUUCUAAUUAGAUGGUUGAAGGAGAUUGCUGCAGAGAACCGUUUAGACCUAUGUUUGGCAGUCAUUGACAAGGGUUGUGGGGACUCACCGAUUGAUGGACUAUUUAAGGAUGAAGUAGAAAUAAUAGAAACAGCACUGCAUUGCAUUUAUUCAUGCACCCUUACAGAUCAGUGGAAUGUGAUGGCAUCCAUUUUGUCAGAGCUUCCACGAAAUAUUUUAAGAGAUAAUUUGUUUGCCACCGACGAAGAUUUUAGUCCAAGGCAUGCUAAUCAGUAUUUUGAAACUUCAAAAGUUUCUUAUGUGAAGUAUGGCCUGGGAGGUUCCACUUCAGAUGAUUCUAGAGGAUCUGAUGGCAAGUCGGACAUUGAUGCAACUGCUGCUAAGGUGGAGAAGAGGAUAAAAAUUGCAGAGGGCCACGUGGAAGUUGGAAGAUUGAUGGCAUAUUAUCAGGUUCCAAAGCCAAUAUCUUUCUUUCUAAGUGCUCAAUCUGAUGAGAAGAAUGUGAAACAACUUCUUCGUCUGAUUCUGUCGAAGUUCAGCCGUCGACAGCCUACCAGAUCAGAUAAUGAUUGGGCAAGCAUGUGGCGUGAUUUGCUAUCCUUCCAGGAAAAAGCAUUUCCUUUUCUUGAUUUAGAGUAUCUUCUAAUAGAAUUUAUUAGAGGGCUCCUAAAAGCUGGAAAAUUCUCCCUUGCAAGAAACUACCUUAAAGGGACAGCCUCAGUUUCUUUGGCUCCUGGAAAGGCUGAAAAUCUAGUCAUUCAAGCAGCAAGAGAAUAUUUCUUUUCAGCUUCUAGUCUGUCUUGCAGUGAAAUCUGGAAGGCUAAAGAAUGUUUAAGCCUCUUGCCAAGUAGCGAAGCUGUUAAAGCAGAAGCUGAUAUGAUUGACGCUCUCACUAUUAGACUUCCAAACCUAGGGGUGACUCUUCUACCCAUGCAGUUUAGACAGAUAAGAAACCCAAUGGAAAUCAUAAAUAUGGUGAUCACAUGUCAAACUGGUGCUUAUCUAAAUGUAGAAGAGCUCAUUGAGAUUGCCAAACUUCUUGGUUUGAGCUCCCCAGAUGAUAUAGCAGCUGUAGAAGAAGCUGUGGCCAGAGAAGCUGCAGUUGCUGGUGAUCUGCAAUUGGCUUUUGAUCUUUGUCUAGUUCUUGCAAAAAAAGGCCAUGGAUCCAUUUGGGACUUGUGUGCUGCAAUUGCACGGGGUCCCCAUCUUGAUAAUAUGGACUUGAGUUCUAGGAAACAGCUGUUGGGUUUUGCUUUAAGCCACUGUGAUGAUGAAUCCAUUGGGGAACUACUGAAUGCAUGGAAGGAGGUAGAUACACAUGUUCAAUCUGAGAAUUUAAUAACUUUGACAGGCACUAAUCCACCAAGGUUCGUUAGCAAAGGAUCUUCAGUGUCACCACUUUCUGUAUAUUGCACUCCUGACAUAUUUGACCUACCAAAUGGCUCUAAGCCUAUGCAACAUGUAUUGUAUCCAGAUGGUGGAAAUGAUGAUGAUCAAGUUCAGUAUAAUCAAAUCAAAGAUGUACUUUCGAGAGUCGGCGUCGAUCUAUUGACCGAUGAUGGCAUUUGUUGGGACACUAUUUUAAGAGAAAAUAAGAGAGUCCUCUCAUUUGCUGCUUCAGAACUUCCUUGGCUUCUUGAUUUGUCAGAAAGAGAAGAAUAUGGUAAACUAUCUACUCUUGGGGCAAGACAUCAAGUUUCUACAAGAAUGCGAGCAUUGCUAAGUAUUCUCUGCUGGAUGGCUGGGAAUAAUAUUGCUCCAGCUGAUGAUAUGAUCAAGUCUCUUGCCAAUUAUAUUAUGGAACCUCCUAUCACCGAAGAGGAUGAUGUCCUUGGAUGCUCAUUUUUGCUGAAUCUUGUGGAUGCUUUUCAUGGAGUAGAAAUUAUCGAGGAGCAGCUAAAAAGAAGAGACAAAUAUCAAGAAAUAUACAGCAUCAUGAACAUUGGAAUGGCAUAUUGUUCGCUGUACAAUGCUCAGGAAAAAUGCUCAAGUGCUGAACAAAGAAGGGAGCUGUUGCUGCAAAUGUUUCAUGAUAAGCAGGCAUCCUUCUGCUCAGAUGCAAUGGUACAGAUAGACAAGGUGACAUCAACAUUUUGGAGAGAGUGGAAGAUAAAACUGGAAGAGCAGAAAAGACUUGCAGAUCAUGUAAGAGAUUUAGAGCGAAUAAUGCCCAGAAUAGAAGCUGCUCGCUUUUUAUCUAGGGAUAUGGAGUACAUAAAAGGUGUUAUUUUCUCCUUCAUUGAUUCCGUAAAGCUGGAGAAGAAACACAUUCUUAAGGAAGCAGUGAAGUUGGCAGACACUUAUGGUUUGGACCGCAUUGAGGUAAUAUUGCGUUUCUUUGGUUGUACCCUUAUUUCUGAACAUUGGGGAAACAACGAUAUUCUGGCAGAGAUUUCAGAAUUUAGGAAUGACAUUGUCAAAUGUGCCAAUGGAGUUAUUUAUAUGAUUCACUCAGUCGUCUACCCAGAGAUUGAUGGGCGCAACAAGGAAAGACUUUCCUACAUGUAUAGCAUACUCUCAGCUUGCUACUUACGCCUAAAAAAGGUUGAAGACCCAAUGCUAAUGACAUACCAAGAACAAGGACAUAUGCAUAUACUCGAGCCGUUCCAAUUUUACAAAGUUCUUGAACAGGAAUGCCAAAGGGUCUCCUUCAUUGAGAAUUUGAACUUCAAAAAUAUUGCUGGUUUGGAUGAUUUGAACUUUGAGCAUUUUAAUGAAGAAAUCUGUAAUAACAUCCAUGAACCUACAGUGGAAGCUCUAGCAGAAUUGGUGCAGGUUCUUGUUGGUAUUUAUGAUAAUUCACAAGCCAAGGGUCUCAUAUCAAUGGAAGGUGUCUACAAGCACCAUGUCCUAGGUAUUUUGGCAUCUUUAGAAGGUCGGAAUGAAGCUAGGUCAGAUAGUAUAAAAGCUCAUGAGUUGCAAGCUCUUUUAAUGGGAAUUGAGCUGAAUUAUGAUAAAUGCAAGAAGUAUGUUAGAGCUCUUUCAGAAGCAGAUAUAUCAUAUAUUGUUGGGAGAUUCUGCACUCUCUGUUUUCCUAGUAAUUUUUCACGGAGCCUACCAGAGGAACUUGCAUGGAAGGAUUGUCUUAUUGUUCUUUUGACACUUUGGAUCAAGCUGGUUGAUGAUAUCCCAGAGAAGUUAACCAGUAAAUUCUCUGAAGAAAAGCCAGUCUGCACUGGUACCAAUAAUCUUUUAAGAUGUCUGGAAGUGUUUAAAAGGAUUUUAAUUGAUGAUGAGAUUUCAGCAAAUCAAGGAUGGAAUACCAUUUCCAACUAUGUUGUACAUGGUCUUAUGGAUGGUUCAAUAUCACACGUGUCAUCCUUUUUAAUAGCUAUGAUAUUUUCAGGGUGUCCAUUUAAAUCAAUUGGCGAAGCAUGUUAUGAAGAACUGCUUUCAGAAUUCUCCGGUCAGAAUACUACAUAUAAAUAUCUUAUAGAACUUUAUACGAAUCUGGUGGAUAGGGCCCUAGCAGACUUGAGCAUGCAAUUUGACAGACACCAGAAUUUGCAUUACUUGUUGUCGUCUUUGAGCAGAUUGGCAGGUAAUUAUGUGGAAGAACUUAAAAUGAUCAGAUCAGAAGUCUGGGUAAAGCUGAGGGCAUUUUCAGAUAAUAUGCAGUUACCAAGUCAAACUAGGUUAUAUGCGUUGCAGCUAAUGCAGUGUAUCACAGGAAUAAAUCUCAAAAGCCUUCCAGAUGAAAUUGUCUUCGAGGUGGAACCUUGGGAAGGUUGGGAUGAGUCUAUCUGCACAAAGGUCACUGGAACUUCUGAAGGAGCUGAAAUCUCUAGUAGUAUUACAAGUACUUUGGUCGCAUUUAAAUCGACUCAGCUGAUUGCAAAAAUUUUACCAAAUAUUGAGAUCACUCCAGAAAACCUGAUGACCCUUGACUCAGCUGUCUCUUGCUUCUUACAUUUAUCUGAAAGUGUUACGACUGUUGAAGAUCUCAAUGUUCUACAGGGUGUUUUGGAAGAAUGGGAUGAGUUCUUCUCUACAAAGAUGGAUAAGGAAGAGCAAAAUGAAUCCCCAAAAGAAUCAAACAACUGGAGCAGUGAUGAGUGGAAUGAUGGAUGGGAAGAGCUAGUUACUCCAGACGUAAAGCAACAGGGAUCUGUAUCUGUUAAGCGCCUUCAUGCUUGUUGGAUGGAAAUCAUCAAAAGGCUCAUUGGACUUUCUGAACUUCAUCGUAUCAUGGAGUUGCUUGAUAAAUCAUCACUAAAAUCUGAUAAUGUGCUUCUGAAUGAAGAAGAAGCUCAUUGCUUGUUUCAGCUGGUGGUUGGGAUGGAUUGCUUUAUGGCCCUUAAAUUGCUCUUGCUGCUCCCAUAUGAAGCUCCCCGCUCUCAGUGCUUACGUGUGCUCGAGAAUAAUCUAAAAACUGGAAGUAUUUCAGAUGCAUCUAGUGCAGCUGAUUAUGAGCUUCUUGCUAUACUAUUAUCAGCUGGGGUUGUACAUGAUAUUGCCAACGAUCCAUCUUUCUGCAAAGUAUUCUCAUAUGUCUGUUAUUUAGUUGGUCUUCUUGCUCGGCUGCUACAGGAAGAUCUGCUUAAUUCUUGGGAGGGUAAUGGAAGUAGACCUAAACAAAAUCAGUUAUCAAUAUUUAGCAGAAUUUUGUUGCCAUUUUUCAUAUCUGAGACUGUAUGUGGAGGUCAGCCUUUGAUAGCUGGGUUUAUUGUAUCAAGGUGGAUGCACACACACAUAUCCCUUGGUGUGAUUGAUAUUGUGGAGGCUAGUCUUAGAAGAGUGCAGGAACAGCAGCCAGAUGUGCAUGAUGCUAAGCGAUGUGACUGCUUAUGUAAUCACCCAAGCGAUGUGCAGAUGCCCAACGAUUUGUUUAUGGCAGGCGCUGUUAGUCUAAUAAAUGAUCUAACGAACCUGUCAUAUUGAAGCUGAUUGAUAUAGGGGUAUGUAAGAGAUGACCUUCCUUCAGCGGUAUUUCUUCCUUCAUCUUACGGUUUUGCUCCAGCCGUUGCCCGACCGACUCUUGUACUGCAACAAGCAGAGGAUUCAUUCAGCCAUGGUUCCUUUCUCUCCCUUGCUACAGAGAAGGAAGAUAUAAGCUGUGGUGUCUGUCUGUCUGUCUGAUGGAGAAUGCAAUCGAUAUAUCCAAGACACAACAGAUUGCGAUCAAAAAGACAAUGGACGCUGCUGCUGCUGCUGCUAGUUUGAUUCCAGCUGCUAAACCCCCUCCGCGGCAACCUCCUGAGCCUGAGCCUGAGCCUGAGCCCGCUCUUCUGGGUUGGCGUCAGCGCGGCAAGUCGGGCAGGAGC